GAUGAACGCUGGCGGCGUGCCUAAUACAUGCAAGUCGAGCGAACAGACGAGGAGCUUGCUCCUCUGACGUUAGCGGCGGACGGGUGAGUAACACGUGGAUAACCUACCUAUAAGACUGGGAUAACUUCGGGAAACCGGAGCUAGUACCGGAUAAUAUAUUGAACCGCAUGGUUCAAUAGUGAAAGACGGUUUUGCUGUCACUUAUAGAUGGAUCCGCGCCGCAUUAGCUAGUUGGUAAGGUAACGGCUUACCAAGGCAACGAUGCGUAGCCGACCUGAGAGGGGGAUCGGCCACACUGGAACUGAGACACGGUCCAGACUCCUACGGGAGGCAGCAGUAGGGAAUCUUCCGCAAUGGGCGAAAGCCUGACGGAGCAACGCCGCGUGAGUGAUGAAAGUCUUCGGAUCGUAAAACUCUGUUAUUAGGGAAGAACAAAUGUGUAAGUAACUAUGCACGUCUUGACGGUACCUAAUCAGAAAGCCACGGCUAACUACGUG
rnacentral:rRNA from 1 species